GUUUAACUUCCAAUGGACAGAACAGUAAACUGAGGUGGAGGCAGGGAGAGGAAGCACAUGCUCACACCGCCACUCUCUCUAGAUUGUACUCUAUUGCUGUCCAAGAUGUAGCUGGAUGGAGGAAGAUGACUGUGCGAUAGCAGCUGAUGAAGUAGCAAAUUGGACCAGCUGAAGAAAAAAUGACAUGGGCCGGAAGUCAUAUGGAUCAGCUGGGAAUCCUAGGAAAGAGAAAGCUACAGAAGUCAUCUCAUUUCCAGCUCUGGUUUACUGUGUUCGGUGAAGUACAUAAUUACAUGAACUAUUGUCAAGCCAUUUUCCCCAUCCAAAUGGACUUUUGAACCUAAUAUAGGUUCUUUUACUCAUCCUUCUAAAACAUCUUCUCAUUGACUAAUUUAUCAUUUAUUACAACCUGGUUAUUGAGUCACUCCUUAGCCAGGAUGAGGGUGAGAAGGACUUUUAUACUUUGUGUAGAGAGAUAUCUUCAGUAUCAUCUCUUAUUAAUGGAGGCAUAAGCCCUCAGAGCAAUGUCUAGGCAUAUGCAAUUCAAUAAAGAAGCUCAAUAAUA